rnacentral:rRNA from 1 species
GACGAACGCUGGCGGCGUGCCUAAUACAUGCAAGUUGAGCGCUGAAGGUUGGUACUUGUACCGACUGGAUGAGCAGCGAACGGGUGAGUAACGCGUGGGGAAUCUGCCUUUGAGCGGGGGACAACAUUUGGAAACGAAUGCUAAUACCGCAUAAAAACUUUAAACACAAGUUUUAAGUUUGAAAGAUGCAAUUGCAUCACUCAAAGAUGAUCCCGCGUUGUAUUAGCUAGUUGGUGAGGUAAAGGCUCACCAAGGCGGUGAUACAUAGCCGACCUGAGAGGGUGAUCGGCCACAUUGGGACUGAGACACGGCCCAAACUCCUACGGGAGGCAGCAGUAGGGAAUCUUCGGCAAUGGACGAAAGUCUGACCGAGCAACGCCGCGUGAGUGAAGAAGGUUUUCGGAUCGUAAAACUCUGUUGGUAGAGAAGAACGUUGGUGAGAGUGGAAAGCUCAUCAAGUGACGGUAACUACCCAGAAAGGGACGGCUAACUACGUG